UACGUAGGGUGCGAGCGUUAAUCGGAAUUACUGGGCGUAAAGCGUGCGCAGGCGGUUUUGUAAGUCUGUCGUGAAAUCCCCCGGGCUCAACCUGGGAAUUGCGAUGGAGACUGCAAGGCUGGAGUCUGGCAGAGGGGGGUAGAAUUCCACGUGUGAGCAGUGAAAUGCGUAGAGAUGUGGAGGAACACCGAUGGCGAAGGCAGCCCCCUGGGUCAAGACUGACGCUCAUGCACGAAAGCGUGGGGAGCAAACAGG
rnacentral:rRNA from 1 species